AUUGAACGCUGGCGGCAGGCCUAACACAUGCAAGUCGAGCGGAUGAAGGGAGCUUGCUCCUGGAUUCAGCGGCGGACGGGUGAGUAAUGCCUAGGAAUCUGCCGGGUAGUGGGGGAUAACGUCCGGUAACGGGCGCUAAUACCGCAUACGUCCUGAGGGAGAAAGUGGGGGAUCUUCGGACCUCACGCUACCAGAUGAGCCUAGGUCGGAUUAGCUAGUUGGUGGGGUAAAGGCCUACCAAGGCGACGAUCCGUAACUGGUCUGAGAGGAUGAUCAGUCACACUGGAACUGAGACACGGUCCAGACUCCUACGGGAGGCAGCAGUGGGGAAUAUUGGGCAAUGGGCGAAAGCCUGAUCCAGCCAUGCCGCGUGUGUGAAGAAGGUCUUCGGAUUGUAAAGCACUUUAAGUUGGGAGGAAGGGAAGUAAGUUAAUACCUUGCUAUUUUGACGUUACCAACAGAAUAAGCACCGGCUAACUUCGUG
rnacentral:rRNA from 1 species